UUAGCUCUGGACUCAUAUGUUGUGUAUUUUCAUAAUUUUGAUUUUUUGCUUUGAUCAAAAUGUGAGUGUGAUACGAUACAAAUUUGUUACGUAUCAAAAACAAGCCAAAAAUAGUCCACAAACAAAGGGUAACCCGAGAGCUCAACAAACACCAAAUCUCGGUUUCAACAACAUCAAGAAACAAGGUGUAAAUGACACCAAAAGCACUAACAACAACAAGAGAUAAACAAUAAUAACGAGAGGAACAACACUACAAUAACAACAAUCCAACGGUUACAAGAUUACAAGAACAACAAGAACCAAACGGUUCACUAGACUACACAACUAGUACAUGAUAUGUAAAGAUAGGAAGUGAGACUACACUAUUACAAGGUUAAGAACCUAAAGAUGUAUUAAAUCUAAGGACCCCUAAGACUUACAAUAGCAACAUCACACUCUUACGUGACACAAGAGGGAUUCCACCGCUCAAGCACCAACGUUUCCAAGCAAUACACAAUCACAAGUGAAUCCACACUUGUUCAUGUCCUAGUUUAGGUCUAGAGACCCUCUCUCUCAAGAGAUAUGUUCUUUCAACAAUAUCCAACAAAAACUAAUGAACUAAAACCCUAUAUUGUUCUAUUUAUAGUACUUUACAAAUAAAAAGAUAAAAUGACAAAAAGACUCUUUAAUGACCAAGUAGACAAAUAGGCACCCAUGGACUGCUUUUAAGGGCAGUUUGGAGCCCUUUUUAACACUUCAACUCGUACACCUCCGAGGUUACAUCCAAAAUACUCAAAAACGUUCAUCUUCAUGAUCGUACUUGUAUCAUCCUCUCCAUCUUGACCUCACAUUCAUGGCACUAGCCAAAUGAAAAUGGCUCCAAAACAGUCCACAAAAUAAGAAGAAACCGAGAACACAACAAUUUCAAGUCUCGGCCAACGUCUUCAUUUUGCACCUUGGCUUCCUCUCUAUCUUAAGAUUUGCCUUCAAUCUCAUCCGGCUCAAUUGAGUUUAGCCAAGAAGUUUCACUACAAAACAACAAACGGGUUAGUUGUAAAAGAAAGGUCCUCACACUCUCUCUUUAUUUCUUUGUUCUCGGAUUCCUCAUACUUAAUCUCACAAUUGUUGUAUGCUUGUUUGUACUCCGUGAGGUGUUGAGAGGUGAAUUCCAAUGUUUACAACGACUCCAAAAUAGAAAAAAAAUACACAAGGACGUAUACACAAAGAACGGUUUCAAACCAACUCACAAUCUAGUAAGUGGUUACUAGCUUGUAAGUUAGUAUUGAAAUCAACAAAAGAAACAACAAAAUGAAACUAGAAGAUCAAAUUUGAGCUUAAAAUUUAUCGUGUGAACAAUAGUUGGUGACGUGUCACCCCCUAAUUGGUCACGGGGUCAUAAGUUUUAAUCACCAUUCUUGAAAUUUUUAGUCCUUAUACUUUUGGAAUGGAAAACAAUUAGUAUUUGGAGGGAAAAAUACAAGCCUUGUAACUCUUUUCAAAUUCAAUUCAAAAAGGUGAGAUUAGACUUGUACUAAUUUCCACAAAACAAGGCUCCUAAAAACAAGGAAAGUGGUUGAAAAAGUUGUUGUCAAGUCAAGAGUGAUGUGAGCUAGUCCUUUCACCAACAAGUCUUUCAACUUUGUCUUCACCUUUUCUAGAUCUAUUAACUACUUUAAGUUGGUCAAGAUAAGAGAAGUGACGAAGAACAACAAGAACACAAUAACUUUUCAAGAACAACAACAACAACAGCUUCAACGCGCACUCCAACCUCCACAACAAGUCCACAAAUUUCAGUCUAGGUCUUUGUUCACAACACAACUUUAACAAGUUUUUAAGCUCAAAUAUAGAUCUAGAUACCUUUUAAUGUUAGUGAAUCAAGAAACAACAAUAACAACAAAGAAAUCCUAGACCUAGACUCCGCAAAUUUCGGCCAAGACUACAACAAGAACACUACAAGUUUCUCGGCCAUGAACAAGAACAAAAACAAGAACACUUCUUUCUAUUUUUAUUUUUUAAUUUUCUAGCAAGCCCAAGAUUGAUUUUGUUGGAACAAAAUCAACCACAAGCUUUGAUACCAAUGAUACGAUACAAAUUUGGUACGUAUCAAAAACAAGCCAAAAAUAGUCCACAAACAAAGGGUAACCCGAGAGCUCAACAAACACCAAAUCUCGGUUCUAACAACAUCAAGAAACAAGGUGUAAAUGACACCAAAAGCACUAACAACAACAAGAGAUAAACAAUAAUAACGAGAGGAACAACACUACAAUAACAACAAUCCAACGGUUACAAGAUUACAAGAACAACAAGAACCAAACGGUUCACUAGACUACAC
rnacentral:lncRNA from 1 species